CCCGCUGAACUUAAGCAUAUCACUAGGCGGAGGAAAAGAAACUAACAAGUAUUCCCUGAGUAACGGCGAGUGAAACGGGAAAAGCCCAGCACCGAACCCCGCAGUGUUUCACUGUUGGGACAUGUGGUGUUAAGGUGGUGCUAUCCGGCAUUGCUGCGCGCUCUAAGUUCUCUUGACCGAGACCACAGACCAUAGAAGGUGCGAGUCCUGUGAGGGUGCGCGGCGUGUCGGUGUGUGCUACCGUGGAGUCGAGUUGCCUGAGAUCGCAGCUCAAAGCAGGUGGUAAGCCUCACCUAGGCUAAAAUACACCCAUGAGACCGAUAGCAAACAAGUACUGUGAAGGAAAGUUGCAAAGAACUUUGAAGAGAGAGUUCAAGAGGACGUGAAACUGCUCGGAAGGAAACAGGUAGAGCUACUGAUAGUGUGCGUGUUACAGACUGGCGAUUGGCGGCCGCGUGCAUUGCGAUUCGUAAGAUUGUGGUGUGCGUGCGCUGUUGGUUGUCGGUUGCAUUUCACGCACAUGCGUGCCGAGGGCGAUCGGUUGUUCCUUGUGUGCGCGUCGGUAGACGGGACUCCCCGGAGUUACCAGCCGGCGUAGCGCACUUGUGUAACGGCUAAUUGUUUGUAUGCCGGCGGUGCGCAUUCGGGUGCAUCGGCUGCUGUCUGUGUGGGCAAGCGCUUGCGCAAGUUCGUGCGGAUGGUGGUUGGUGUGCCCAUUUGCCGUCUGGUGUCGUCUCGGUGUACAAGGUGGCCACCUACCUGACCCGUCUUGAAACACGG
rnacentral:rRNA from 1 species